AUUGAACGCUGGCGGCAUGCUUUACACAUGCGAGUCGAACGGCAGCGCGGGCUUCGGCCUGGCGGCGAGUGGCGAACGGGUGAGUAAUAUAUCGGAACGUACCCAAGAGUGGGGGAUAACGUAGCGAAAGUUACGCUAAUACCGCAUACGAUCCAAGGAUGAAAGCAGGGGACCGCAAGGCCUUGUGCUCCUGGAGCGGCCGAUAUCUGAUUAGCUAGUUGGUGAGGUAAAGGCUCACCAAGGCAACGAUCAGUAGCUGGUCUGAGAGGACGACCAGCCACACUGGAACUGAGACACGGUCCAGACUCCUACGGGAGGCAGCAGUGGGGAAUUUUGGACAAUGGGGGCAACCCUGAUCCAGCAAUGCCGCGUGAGUGAAGAAGGCCUUCGGGUUGUAAAGCUCUUUUGUCAGGGAAGAAAAGGCUGUGGCUAAUAUCCACAGCUGCUGACGGUACCUGAAGAAUAAGCACCGGCUAACUACGUGCCAGCCGCCGCGGUAA
rnacentral:rRNA from 1 species